rnacentral:rRNA from 1 species
UAGGGAAUAUUGCAAAAUGGGCGAAAGCCCGAUGCAGCAACGCCGCGUGGGCGAUGAAGGCCUUCGGGUCGUAAAGCCCUUUUUGAGGGGAUGAGGAAGGACAGUACCCUCAGAAUAAGCCUCGGCUAACUACGUGCCAGCAGCCGCGGUAAAACGUAGGAGGCGAGCGUUAUCCGGAUUUACUGGGCGUAAAGCGCGUGUAGGCGGUCUGGUUAGUUGGAUGUGAAAGCUCCCGGCUUAACUGGGAGAGGUCGUUCAAUACUGCCAGACUAGAGAGUGGUAGAGGGAGAUGGAAUUCCGGGUGUAGUGGUGAAAUGCGUAGAUAUCCGGAGGAACACCAGUGGCGAAAGCGGCCUCCUGGACCACUUCUGACGCUCAGACGCGAAAGCUAGGGUAGCGCACG